rnacentral:rRNA from 1 species
UACAGAGGUCUCAAGCGUUGUUCGGAUUCAUUGGGCGUAAAGGGUGCGUAGGCGGCGCGGUAAGUCGGGUGUGAAAUCUCGGAGCUUAACUCCGAAACUGCAUUCGAUACUGCCGUGCUUGAGGACUGGAGAGGAGACUGGAAUUUACGGUGUAGCGGUGAAAUGCGCAGAUAUCAGGAGGAACACCAGCGGCGAAGGCGGCGCUCUGGGCUGGAACUGACGCUGAGGAGCGAAAGCGUGGGGAGCGAACAGG